rnacentral:snRNA from 1 species
CCACUUUGGCAGCAGAUAAUAUUAAACUUGAAAUGAUACAGUGAAGAUUAGCAUGGGCCCUGCACAAGGACAACAUGCAAAAUUCAUGAAGCAUUCCAUGUUUUU